rnacentral:misc_RNA from 1 species
GAUGAAGAACGUAGCGAAAUGCGAUAAGUAGUGUGAAUUGCAGAAUUCAGUGAAUCAUCGAAUCUUUGAACGCACAUUGCGCCCCUUGGUAUCCCGAGGGGCAUGCCUGUUCGAGCGUCAUUUCACCACUCAAGCCUGGCUUGGUGUUGGGCGACGUCCUCUUUGGGGACGCGCCUCGAAACGCUCGGCGGCGUGGCACCGGCUUUAAGCGUAGCAGAAUCUUUCGCUUUGGAAGUCGGGGCCCCGUCUGCCGGAAGACCUGCUCGCAAGGUUGACCUCGGAUCAGGCAGGGAUACCCGCUGAACAUAAGCAUAUCAAUAAGCGGAGGA